rnacentral:rRNA from 1 species
CUACGGGAGGCUGCAGUGGGGAAUAUUGGACAAUGGGCGAAAGCCUGAUCCAGCCAUGCCGCGUGUGUGAAGAAGGCCUUCGGGUUGUAAAGCACUUUCAGUGGGGAAGAAAGCCUUGGGGCUAAUACCCUCGAGGAAGGACAUCACCCACAGAAGAAGCACCGGCUAACUCCGUGCCAGCAGCCGCGGUAAUACGGAGGGUGCGAGCGUUAAUCGGAAUUACUGGGCGUAAAGCGCGCGUAGGCGGUCUGAUAAGCCGGUUGUGAAAGCCCCGGGCUCAACCUGGGAACGGCAUCCGGAACUGUCAGGCUAGAGUGCAGGAGAGGAAGGUAGAAUUCCCGGUGUAGCGGUGAAAUGCGUAGAGAUCGGGAGGAAUACCAGUGGCGAAGGCGGCCUUCUGGACUGACACUGACGCUGAGGUGCGAAAGCGUGGGUAGCAAACAGGAUUAGAUACCCCGUAGUC